CAGUUCUGGGUGAAGGUUGUGCAUGCACCAGGCUCUAUUACAGUGACAAGGCAAUCUAGUCCCUUUGUGGGCGAUGAUUCUACUUCAUUGAUUUACAAUGGAAAGGAUAUAAUUUUGCUGGUGUUGGCAAAAAGCUCAAAUGUCAGGCUUUUCAGAAUGCCAGCAUUGCCUUGUUCGCAGAUGAAUAAGGAGAAAGUCACCUUUUGUCUCCUGUUAAAUAUUCCUGCAUAAAUACAAAGGAGCAUAAUGCCCUCCUGAUAAAAGGAAGCCCUGAUUUAUCCUGAUUUAUCCUUUAGUGUAUAGAUAAAACCCGCUGAUAAAUGCCAGGUUGGCCUUUUCAUUUUUGUUCUCUGAGGUUCGCUUUGCUUUUUUGCAGCAUAUCGAGUUUGGAAGACGGGUGUCGUUUUCAGAGACGCUGUUUUGUGGAAAGGACACAAAAGAUGCUUUAAACCUGCGUUAAUGAUAUUCAUGUUGCUUUGAAGUGCAAGUUUAGGAAACAGUGCAAAAAGUUUGACUUCCAGGUAUUAUCAUGCAGUUACCUGUUGUUGAAAUGCGAAAGGUAUGACUUGGACUCAGUGGACAUGGAAUCAAUUAGCUUUUGACCAGUCCAUAGACACACACGCACACGCAUGCUUGUCUAAGACCCUGUCUCUCCCUUUCUUUCUCUCCUUUGGUCUAUUCAGUAGCCUGUGAUCAUUUAGAUUUGACAUGCAUUGUAGCUGAGCUGGUCUCUCUCUUUUGCUCUCUCUCCCUCUCCCUCUUUUGCUACUGUCUGUCAUUAAUUUCCAGGCUUUACAAUUUGCCAAAAAAGAAAGAGAAAAGAGUGAGUGAGUGGUGGAAGGAUAAGAGCUCAGUGUCCUUUUGAAGGGGUUUGUUAUUGCACAAAAACAGCCGCCCAAUAAUUUUUCGUCAAUGUUUAACUCUAAAAGCUUUUCCCCGUCAGCUUUUGAAAAGAAGAGCAAUAAAGCCCUAUUCAUACGGACUGAAUAAAAACAGUCCUCUGGGGGCUAUGACCGAAGGGCUUCUUUUCUUCUGCCUCUAAUCAAAUAGGAACUGAAAUGAAUUAGAGUUUUCUUAUGAAAAUAGCCUUUGUUGUCAGGCAGGCCGGUAAUUCAUAAACAAUAAGCAACGUCAUUGUGUGGCUAGUAAUAUAUUCAUGCUGUGGAAAGGCUAGAAGGCAGUGCAGGACUAUGGCUUUGUGAAUGAGGGGAGGGAAGGAUUGGUCCUGGACUCUUCAUUUGCAGUCUUCACAGUGGGUGGUUCUGGUAACCACCAGUUUCUCUUCGUCUCUCUCUCUCUAUUUCUCUCAUGCUCCUGAUGUGGUCUUCUCAUUUUCCUCAUGCUCUUCCUUGUUUGCUUAUUUCUUGCAACUUUUCUCAUUUUGACCUUUCUCAAAGGCCUCUCGCUCUUCCUGUGCCUUGACCUGUCAAGUUUUUCAACUGCUUUUUUGCUCCUUUUUCCUCUGAGCAAAGGUUUAUAUUCUGGAAAACUUCUGGCUGGUGUUGUGGAUUCUGCUCCCAAACUCGUCUCUCUUGGAAAAAGUAGUGGAUUAUCUGAACCAUGAGGAAUGUGUCGCGGAGGGCAAAGGGCAAAUGGACUACAGCAACUUGGAUUUGUACUUGAACUUGGAUUACCACAAACCUGAGGAAAAACUGUGUUCUCGCUUAUAAGGGAUUAAUGCAGCUCUUUUGGUGGACCUGGAUGUCUUUUCUGUCAGUUUUUCAACAUGAAACGGCAAAAUUGGUUGCUUAAAUUCCAUUAUUUUCUUUUCUCCUCUGCUUUGACAUUAUUCAUGGAGUUAAAUAUAUUGACAGGUUUUGACGAGGCUGUUUCCGUCAUGGGCGUUGGCAUGGGAACCUGCCCCUGGCUGCUACCUGAAUGAGGGCGCAGGGCCUCUGCGAACAGCGCAGUCAAAGGAGUGACCCAGCAGGCUGCACAUUUUUACCUACAGCCGUAUCCAUGACAACAGCCUCAUGCCCACAACCAUUGAACACUUGAUUGACAGAUGUCCAAAUGUCAACCACUCCCUCUCAGGAGAUUUGGGACAUCCAGCUCCAGUCCGCCACGCUUUGUCUUUAAUUUGAGAGAUUUGGCAAGUUACCACAAACAAGGCUGGUGAAGUUGAUGUAUUUGAUGGCAGACUUGGAGAGCAAAGGAGGACCUCUUUGGACUUAAAAGCCCCCACACGCUUUUAGAUUUGACCCCACAAUUUUUCUUUCCUUUUGGUCUCAUGUCCUCAUCUCUCUCUUUUUUUGUGCAUCUUAAAUAUACGAGGCAGCAGACAGCUCUGGACAGAGAUAUGAGGAGCCUUCAAAGGCGUGUUGUGACUGCUGUUUCAUCUCAGUACAAAGGGUUAUGCCGAAAUGUGUUCCGCCUUUCAGUAUAUUUUGCAUUUAUGCUAAUGAUGCAUAAAUCGACAGUGCGCUUUUCUCUGCACUACCAUAUGAAUCUGUAAACAAACCGAGGAAGUUAAGCCGUCAAAUUUAAUUUCACUUUUACCAUGAGCUGCGUCCGAGAAUCGUCUUGACGUGUUGAUCUUAAAUUCCAAAAAUAUUUUUUUAUUUUAUUUUGUCUGUUAAAAUAAAUUUUUUCAUCAACAUUGAGCCAUUCAAGUUCAUCCUAAACCAAUCAAACGAGUCACUAAUGAAUAAUGUUACCAUUUGAAUAACCUAGACAUAUACAUUCACCUGCCACUUUAUUAGGUACACUGUCCAA